GUAAUUGUUUGUCCCCACACACAAAAUAAAAACCCUUCUUCUCCCGCUCUUCACCUUCUUGAAUUCUUCUUCUUCCUCAAAAGUACAUAAUAACAAACAAACGCUACAUUUUAGAGAUAGAGAGAGAAAGUUUCUGUGUGUGUUGUUCCUGUGUUGUGGCGUUUCUUCUUCCUCUCUGGAUAACAAUAUGGAUAUGGAUACACCAGAGAGGAACCAGAUCAACACUACUCUCUCUAAAUUCGAGGUUUGUUUCUUAUUCCUAUUCACACCCCCUCCCUCUUCCU
rnacentral:lncRNA from 1 species